rnacentral:rRNA from 1 species
UUAAGCGAAUAAGCGUACACGGUGGAUGCCUAGGCAAUCAGAGGCGAUGAAGGACGUGCUAAUCUGCGAAAAGCGUCGGUAAGGUGAUAUGAACCGUUAUACCCGACGAUAUCCGAAUGGGGAAACCCAGUAUCCAAUGGAUACUAUCAUUAACUGAAUCCAUAGGUUAAUGAGGCGAACCGGGAGAACUGAAACAUCUCAGUACCCCGAGGAAAAGAAAUCAACCGAGAUUCCCCUAGUAGCGGCGAGCGAACGGGGAGCAGCCCAGAGUCUUAAUCAAUAGCAGUGUCAGGAGAACGGUCUGGAAAGUCCGGCAGUAAAGGGUGAUAGC